UAACCUGCCCAAGAUAUCGGGAUAACACCUGGAAACAGAUGCUAAUACCGGAUAACAACAGAUGAUGCCUAUCAACUGUUUAAAAGAUGGUUCUGCUAUCACUCUUGGAUGGACCUGCGGUGCAUUAGCUAGUUGGUAGGGUAACGGCCUACCAAGGCGAUGAUGCAUAGCCGAGUUGAGAGACUGAUCGGCCACAUUGGGACUGAGACACGGCCCAAACUCCUACGGGAGGCAGCAGCG
rnacentral:rRNA from 1 species